rnacentral:rRNA from 2 species
ACUUAAAUUGAAGAGUUUGAUCAUGGCUCAGAUUGAACGCUGGCGGCAGGCCUAACACAUGCAAGUCGAACGGUAACAGGAAGCAGCUUGCUGCUUCGCUGACGAGUGGCGGACGGGUGAGUAAUGUCUGGGAAACUGCCUGAUGGAGGGGGAUAACUACUGGAAACGGUAGCUAAUACCGCAUAACGUCGCAAGACCAAAGAGGGGGACCUUCGGGCCUCUUGCCAUCGGAUGUGCCCAGAUGGGAUUAGCUAGUAGGUGGGGUAACGGCUCACCUAGGCGACGAUCCCUAGCUGGUCUGAGAGGAUGACCAGCCACACUGGAACUGAGACACGGUCCAGACUCCUACGGGAGGCAGCAGUGGGGAAUAUUGCACAAUGGGCGCAAGCCUGAUGCAGCCAUGCCGCGUGUAUGAAGAAGGCCUUCGGGUUGUAAAGUACUUUCAGCGGGGAGGAAGGCGAUAAGGUUAAUAACCUUGUCGAUUGACGUUACCCGCAGAAGAAGCACCGGCUAACUCCGUGCCAGCAGCCGCGGUAAUACGGAGGGUGCAAGCGUUAAUCGGAAUUACUGGGCGUAAAGCGCACGCAGGCGGUCUGUCAAGUCGGAUGUGAAAUCCCCGGGCUCAACCUGGGAACUGCAUUCGAAACUGGCAGGCUAGAGUCUUGUAGAGGGGGGUAGAAUUCCAGGUGUAGCGGUGAAAUGCGUAGAGAUCUGGAGGAAUACCGGUGGCGAAGGCGGCCCCCUGGACAAAGACUGACGCUCAGGUGCGAAAGCGUGGGGAGCAAACAGGAUUAGAUACCCUGGUAGUCCACGCCGUAAACGAUGUCGACUUGGAGGUUGUGCCCUUGAGGCGUGGCUUCCGGAGCUAACGCGUUAAGUCGACCGCCUGGGGAGUACGGCCGCAAGGUUAAAACUCAAAUGAAUUGACGGGGGCCCGCACAAGCGGUGGAGCAUGUGGUUUAAUUCGAUGCAACGCGAAGAACCUUACCUACUCUUGACAUCCAGAGAACUUUCCAGAGAUGGAUUGGUGCCUUCGGGAACUCUGAGACAGGUGCUGCAUGGCUGUCGUCAGCUCGUGUUGUGAAAUGUUGGGUUAAGUCCCGCAACGAGCGCAACCCUUAUCCUUUGUUGCCAGCGGUCCGGCCGGGAACUCAAAGGAGACUGCCAGUGAUAAACUGGAGGAAGGUGGGGAUGACGUCAAGUCAUCAUGGCCCUUACGAGUAGGGCUACACACGUGCUACAAUGGCGCAUACAAAGAGAAGCGACCUCGCGAGAGCAAGCGGACCUCAUAAAGUGCGUCGUAGUCCGGAUUGGAGUCUGCAACUCGACUCCAUGAAGUCGGAAUCGCUAGUAAUCGUGGAUCAGAAUGCCACGGUGAAUACGUUCCCGGGCCUUGUACACACCGCCCGUCACACCAUGGGAGUGGGUUGCAAAAGAAGUAGGUAGCUUAACCUUCGGGAGGGCGCUUACCACUUUGUGAUUCAUGACUGGGGUGAAGUCGUAACAAGGUAACCGUAGGGGAACCUGCGGUUGGAUCACCUCCUUACCUUAAAGAA